GGACCGGUAGCUCAGUGGUAGAGCAACCGGCUGCAGUGCAAUAGCAUCCUCCGGUAGGUCUCGUGUUCAACUCACGAUCGGUCCU
rnacentral:tRNA from 1 species